rnacentral:rRNA from 1 species
UGGGGAAUUUUGGACAAUGGGCGCAAGCCUGAUCCAGCAAUGCCGCGUGCAGGAUGAAGGCCUUCGGGUUGUAAACUGCUUUUGUACGGAGCGAAAAGGCUUCUUCUAAUACAGGAGGCUCAUGACGGUACCGUAAGAAUAAGCACCGGCUAACUACGUGCCAGCAGCCGCGGUAAUACGUAGGGUGCAAGCGUUAAUCGGAAUUACUGGGCGUAAAGCGUGCGCAGGCGGUUAUGUAAGACAGACGUGAAAUCCCCGGGCUCAACCUGGGAACUGCGUUUGUGACUGCAUAGCUAGAGUACGGUAGAGGGGGGUGGAAUUCCGCGUGUAGCAGUGAAAUGCGUAGAUAUGCGGAGGAACACCGAUGGCGAAGGCAGCCCCCUGG